AAAGAAUUAGUUAAAUUAUAACAUUAAUAUGUCAAAUUAAAAUUAUUAUCUUAUUAAUAUUCUUUU
rnacentral:tRNA from 1 species